UCUUUAUUUGUUUAAUUUGAAAAUGUGAAAGUGUGGAAAUGGACAAUGCAUAAAUAUUCGACAAUUAUAAUGGAAAUUAUAAUGGUCUAAUCUCGUGGUUUAUGUUCUAAAAACUAUAAAUACUGUGAUGGAAUAUUUAAAGAACUUGGUGAAAAAAGAAAAUUCAUGAACCGAAGCACAUGUAAGCUUAUUACGGGCACAAUAGUUCAAUUUUUUUCUAUAGAAGUUAAAUUUGAGAUAAAGGUAAUAUCGUGUGGAUUUGUUCAAUUGCCAUUAAUAAAUUUGUAAUAAUUUGUAAUGAAAUGACAAUACUCGUUUCAUUAAAAGAAUCCAACUGCAUUGUGUUUUCUUGUCAAAAUGGUGAAGGAAGUUUUGACUCUAAUCUUCUUAAAUGUAAAAAAUACAUCCAAUAUGCCUGUCACUGCACACUGUCAACGUACACAGGCAACCAUAAAAUGUUAUGCAGAUGCAUUAACUUUAAAGCUAUUCUAUUCUAUCAUCUUUAAAUGUAAUGAAAGAGAGCAAGAAAUUUAGUUACCAGAUAUAGGAAUUUUUGAUCCUUCGGUACAACGUGUAUCUAAAAAUAUAAUGGCAAUAAAAUAUUAAGCUUGGAUUAAACAUCUGUCAGAAGAAUUUAAAGUUGUGAAUAUUAGUUUAGAUGGAAAUGAAUUAAGCGUAUCAAAAGAACAUUAACAUUAACGUAUUACGUAACAGGAUGAACAAGAUAAAAUAGAUUUCGAUAAUCUAACUACGGAUGAUGCAGAUACACAUUUCGAGAUGGUACUUUAACAAUUGAAAGUUUAGAUGGAAAUAAAUUAUAUUUAGAUUCAACGACUCAAUUUAGAAUGUAUACAAUUGUAUCACAUAGUGUCGUUGAAAAUUUUGAAUCGGAUGUGAUCGUUCCUUAUUAGAGGAGAAUAUGAUAUCUAUCUAAUAUAUUUUUAUAUGUUUAAUAUAUAUUCAAUGAUAGGCAAUGACAGAGUGAAAUUAGAUAGAAGUUUGAAAAUGAUAUGAUAAGCAAUACGUAAUUGAACAAAUGAGUGAUAAAAAAAAUUUGAAGAUAAAUUUAUAAGCGAAAAUAUAUAUAAAUCUGAUGAUAUCUUCGUUAACAAUAUUCCUGUGUAUUUAGAAACAUUGAAAAAAAA
rnacentral:lncRNA from 1 species